rnacentral:rRNA from 1 species
ACGGUGUGGACGCGCCGCAAGGCGUUGAGCUAACGUGUACUAAUGGCCCGUGAGGCUUGACCAUA